UCAUGGAUUGAAUCAAUAGCCGCAGAAUUUAUCUGUGCUAAGGUAGCGUAAUCACUUGCCUUAUAAUUCAAGGAUUGAAUGAAAGGAACCCCGAAUUUUAAACUGUUUCAAUAAGCUAAAUUUAACUUUACACUAAAGUAAAAACUCUUUUACCAAAAAAAAAGACGAUAAGACCCUGCUGAACUUCACUAAAGUUACGCUGGGGCGGCCUUUUAAAAAAAUCUUAAUCACUAUAAAACAACCAAUCUUAAUAAAACCCCACAAGUUACCACAGGGAUAACAGCAUAAUAGUUUUUUAAAGCUCAUAUUUAAAAAAAAGUUUGUGACCUCGAUGUUGAAUUAAGAUAUCUACAAACAUUAAUCGCAAAAGAUUCGAAAGAAAGUCUGUUCGACU
rnacentral:rRNA from 1 species